rnacentral:rRNA from 1 species
GUGGGGAAUAUUGGACAAUGGGCGCAAGCCUGACGCAGCCAUGCCGCGUGGAUGAUGAAGGUCUUAGGAUUGUAAAAUCCUUUCACCGGUGAAGAUAAUGACUGUAGCCGGAGAAGAAGCCCCGGCUAACUUCGUGCCAGCAGCCGCGGUAAUACGAAGGGGGCUAGCGUUGCUCGGAUUUACUGGGCGUAAAGGGCGCGUAGGCGGACAUUUAAGUCAGGGGUGAAAUCCCGGGGCUCAACCUCGGAACUGCCUUUGAUACUGGGUGUCUUGAGUAUGAGAGAGGUGUGUGGAACUCCGAGUGUAGAGGUGAAAUUCGUAGAUAUUCGGAAGAACACCAGUGGCGAAGGCGACACACUGGCUCAUUACUGACGCUGAGGCGCGAAAGCGUGGGGAGCAAACAGGAUUAGAAACCCCUGUAGUCC